CUCACACCUUCCUCCCUGAAGGUCAUCGAGAAGACGGGCUUCCCCAAGAAGCUCACCAGGAAACCAGAGGACUUCAUACUGUGCAGUAAUGCUUUCCCUGGGUGGUUGAACAUCUUCAACCGGGAGGGACUGAACGGAAAGACCUUUACAUCUGCUCUGAGACUGGUCCAAAUGGUACUCUAUUCCAAAUGAAUAAAGACAUUACAAAUGUCAUAUUAUGUCUAUAUGUGUGUGUAUACAGUGUUGUAACGCUGUGCAAAUAGUUACAGUACAAAAGGGGGGGACAUAAAUAUGGGUUGUAUUUACUAUGGUGUUUGUUCUUCACUGGUUGACCUUUUCUCGUGACAACAGG
rnacentral:lncRNA from 13 species